rnacentral:rRNA from 1 species
CACUCCUACGGGAGGCAGCAGUGGGGAAUUUUGGACAAUGGGCGAAAGCCUGAUCCAGCAAUGCCGCGUGUGUGAAGAAGGCCUUCGGGUUGUAAAGCACUUUUGUCCGGAAAGAAAUCCUUGGCUCUAAUACAGUCGGGGGAUGACGGUACCGGCAGAAUAAGCACCGGCUAACUACGUGCCAGCAGCCGCGGUAAUACGUAGGGUGCGAGCGUUAAUCGGAAUUACUGGGCGUAAAGCGUGCGCAGGCGGUUUGCUAAGACCGAUGUGAAAUCCCCGGGCUCAACCUGGGAACUGCAUUGGUGACUGGCAGGCUAGAGUAUGGCAGAGGGGGGUAGAAUUCCACGUGUAGCAGUGAAAUGCGUAGAGAUGUGGAGGAAUACCGAUGGCGAAGGCAGCCCCCUGGGCCAAUACUGACGCUCAUGCACGAAAGCGUGGGGAGCAAACAGGAUUAGAAACCCUAGUAGUCCC